UAACGGCCCACCUAGCUUCGAUGGAUAGGGGUUCUGAGAGGAAGGUCCCCCACAUUGGAACUGAGACACGGUCCAAACUCCUACGGGAGGCAGCAUG
rnacentral:rRNA from 1 species